CUAAUUCUUUAAUAAUACUCAGAAAGUCGCAUUCGUUCGAAUUCUUAUUUAUGAAAUCUGUCGAUGCACAAAAUCAUAUAAAUAAUUACAUAUUAAGUGACGAGCAUGAAAAUAUGGUAAACUUGAUUGUUGGUUCCAAUCUACUUGGAUAACCCUAUAGCUCAAAGCUACAACUGUUGAACUUGAAGCCCUAGAAUUGGGUGCAGAUGCUCAUACACUUGGCGCCUUCACAAACCCUAAUGCAUUUACCAGUGUUGACGUCGGAUAUCGGGGGUGUGCAUUGAAGAGCUUUCUUGCAAGGAAUGGUCCAGCAACCCACAAUCACGAUGACGGCAAAGCUUAUAAACAGACCCAUACAAAUUACAUAGUAAAAAUCACGUAGAUGAUUUGUAACAUCAGGCAUGACCCUCCGCCUUAGUUCCGUUUCAUGCUUAUUUCCUACAGUCAUAGGAUGUUGAAUUUUCGUCGUAUCCCAGUACGAUAAUAUUUUAGCCUUCAGCCGUUGAUCUGAAGGUGAAGUUUCUAGCUUGCUCAGAUCACUUUCCAAUUCAAUGAGCUCACUCUUGGUUUGGUGUCUCUGCAUAACGCUUUUUUUAUAUUUGCUUCCAACUACAAGCAAUGAAACCAAGUUGAGUAUGGCUGCUAUCAGAGAGAGGCUGAAAAGGAACCAGCGAUCUGAGCAUCUGAGCGCUGUGGUCGCAGUGACGAUAGGCCCCAAAAUAAGUCCUUGAAAGACGAAGUAGUAGUUUGCAAGGUUGAAGGCGCUCGUUUGAAGUUGAUUUACUUGAUCAUCCUGUUUCUCAAUUGUAGUUUGCAGCUCCUGUUUUCUUUUAUCCAUGUUUUCUUUCUUUUCUUUGUCACCAUUUGGCGGACAUGGAUCGGUGUCCAUUAAUCAGCAGCACGCUCAAAGUAAGAGAGCUAGAGAGAUAAGAAGACAGAGUCUUAGAGUAAAGUCCCCUUCUCGUCCAUGCAACUUAUAUACACAGAGAUAGUUCUGUUGGCUUUUUGAAUAAGCCAAUACACUCACUCUCACUCUUACACUCAGCUCCAAUUGGGUAAUACCAUAGUGGAAACGAUACCCUAGGCACCAUGUGUGUGAGUAACUCCUUUCCCAUUUCUACUUUCGAUGAAUAAAAUAAAAAAAUAAAAAGUCAAGAUUUUUUGGUGCAGGACGUCUGUCCGUUGUUAAAGGACGGAUUUUGCAUUGAUAAUGUUGUCGACCACGCCGGAUCAACCCAAAAAAUAGAGGAAAAAAGAUAGCGGAGGAAAGUUGCUCGCCCGCAAACUUACUGCAUCUCUGUUCCUAAGUGUGAACAUAUCUUUGGCAAAAUUUACAUUGUGGAAAGGGAUUUACACUUGAACCUUAUUUUGCGUUACAGAUCACCAACUCACAAUAUUUGUAAUUCAAUUAUUUCAAGCGUGUGUAGUGGAGGGACCCCUCUAUUUGUCUGAAAUGAUAUUUCGCAAUUAUUUCAAGCGUACCACCAAGGCCCACCCCUGAGAGAAAUUGUACAAUAAUACUGUGCCAAGUGGUAGUACGGACCAAUAAAAUAACAACACAUUUGCUUCUCAAGGAGAACCAAAGAGUUGAAAGAAAAAAAUUGCAAAAAUUUCGGCAGUGAGGAGGAAAGGUGCUAUUUGGUGCAGUAUUUACCAUUCAAUUUUCCAAGAAGGUUUCAAGGGUGACUUUAACGCCAGUAUCAAACGGAUUAGCUCCUUUCUUCUUUUAGUUGCAGCUGUCCAGUUGUCAGCAUUUCAUUCGUAUGUACUACUACCUGGUAAAUGCCAUGUGGUAGUACAAUAUCAUUGUAUAAUUUCUCCUUUAUCAGAACCUUGACGAUGAAGAGCUCUUACUCAAACGUUAAUAACGAAGUUUAUAAUGUAUUUUAGGAGCUGAAACCAUUGUUGAAACCCUAGUAGUCAGUGCAGAUGCUUAUGUUUUUGUCCCAAACGUUUAUAAGGGAUAGAAUCUAGCUAGGGUAGCUAAGACGUUCUACGUACAUAAACUUUUUUUUUUCCCAAACUAUUUGGAUAAUUAUUCCCAUGAGCUGAAACCAUUGUUGAAACCCUAGUAGUCAGUGCAGAUGCUUAUGCACUUGGCACCUUCACAAAACCUAAUGCAGUUAUCAAUAUUGGAUACUGGGUGCUUACAUUUAUCAGCUUCCCUGCAAAGAAUGGUCCAGCAACCCACAAUCACGAUGAUGGCAAAGGUUACAAACAGACCCAUGCAAAUUACAAAGUAGAAUUUACGUUUACAAUCUGCACAAGGAUCAACAAGGAAGAUCCUUCUAUGCCGUUGUUUCGGUUAUUGUCUGUGCUUGUAGGACACUCAGAACCAACCUGUUUCUUUCCGGAACUUUGAGGUUGAGUUUGAUCUGAUUGUUCCAAUUCAAACUUUUGGUUACGUCUUGUUUUCGUUCAAAAUAUUAAUAAUAUUGGGGGAUGGGAGGGGCUCCUCGAAGUGUAGGUUCUCUAUCCUUCGGAAUUGAGGGUGGAUGUUUCGUCUUUUGAUCUUCACUUAAAAUCUAGUCUGAUUAUUUUGAGCUUAUACUUUCUUUGGAAUAUAUUCAGAAAAGUAAUAUCCCUAGAUUUGAUUGUUUUGAACUUAAUUACUGUCAUCGAGUAUUUUUGCUUUUUUAAUGGAAUUUCCUUCUGGCAAAAAAGCUGAGCUAAUUGUUUGUCUUGGCAUUACUGGAGUUGUAGUCUAAGAUAAAGAGAGAAAACUCUUGCAUUUUUAUGUGACGAGAAUUUGGAUUAAGAGUCGAACGAUGUCAAGAAAUGCAAAAGAAAGGGCAUCGCGUUAAAAGAAACAAUAAACCCAGCACAUGCUAAGUGGCAAAACAAGGCCAAAACCCCAGCGUUUAUGAUGUUGAAAGGUUCCAAUCACGAUUGAUAAUGGGGAAGUAGCCCAAUGUCAUACAUCACUCAAAUCCACACUAGGUCCCUUGACUUUCCAAUGCUAAGUGGUGGCUCUGCAAGAAAGAACAUGAAAAGCAAUUCAGUACACCUACUAUCAGCUUUUUCUUUUCUUUUGAAUGUCUAGCUAUAUAUGUGUUUCAGUGCAUAUGCGUGUUACUUUUAUCCUUCUUUUGGCAUGCAUUUGUGAGUGGAUGUCCAACGUCAAGCUUGAAGCAUCAGAUAAACAACUAUGCUUCGAAUGAGAUAAAAACGGCAUGCUUGCAAUUUCAACGAAAAAACUAGGGAUGUUUUCCUUGAAAGAAAACUGAGGAUAGGCAGGGCAUCUCCUGCAAUCAGUGCCCACUUUCACGUCUCAUGACUUCGGCUCAAGCUCAAAAUUAUAAUUCAAUUCCAUUGUUUUUAUAUAAAGUAAAAGACCCAAUUGCCAUGUGGGCUGGUCAGGUCGUGUACAAGACUAGCGGCCCGGUUCAAUGUUUUCUUUCUCUUCCUUUUUCUUCUCUAAUUUUUAUUUUUUAGAAGCUAUAGUUUAAAUUAAUCUAAACUAAGAGCUCUAUUAAUUAUGUUUUUUGGAUUUUAUUAAAUUUUUUAUUCUUAUGAAGUUGUGCCGUACAUUCAAGGUAAGAGCAUCUACAAUGGUUGUGUGUAAAUUUGGAGGUGUAAAACCACUUUUACAUCUCCUUUACACCUCCGGGGGAUGUAAAUGUGAUUUUUGCUUAAAUGGAGAAGAUGCAAAUCCAAAUAUGUAUAUUUAAUUUUCUUGUGUUAAUUUUUUUUUCCGUUAACUUUUUAAAAUUAAUUUUGUGUGUGUUAGGUUUAUUUUAUUUUUCCAAAAAAAUGAACCCAAAAAAAUUUCAAUUCAAAGAAGAUAUGGUUUCAUAGAACUAGAACCGUUGGAUCGUACAGUACAUUUAAUCUGAACUAUUGGUAUCUUAUCACGUUUUUGCACACAAUUCAAGAUCCAUUAUUUUUUUGAUUUGCACACAAAUCAAGACCCAACAUGAUAGGAUUUGAUCUCAUCUUCAACCGUUGAUCGCCAUGUUACUUUGUUUGGAGAGUGUUCUUUUAGUUGCGCGUAGAGGAAGAGUAGCUCAACCUUUUUCAGCUGCUCUUCUCUCUCAGCUCUCUCCUUAUUUCUUGCGUGCAAGGUCCGUAAAGUGAGUGUAAAAAUGGAUGUAAAUCAGCAUCUUUUUAUUUACAUUUGGUGGCUAAAGUAAAUAUAUAAGCAUUUACAUCCUCCCAUUGCAUCAAUUUUCCGACAGCAAUAGAUGUAAAUUUAGCAUACAUUCACCUUUACACACUACCAAUAUAGAUGCUCUAAGGGUCGUUUUGAACAACAAACACCAAUUCCAAAUAAAUGGAUUUAUCAAGUAAACAUAAUAUUUUUCACAAUUUUGUGGAGUAUUUUUUUCUUUUUGCUCUGCUAUUUUACCAGCUCAACGUCCACCUCUUCUUUCUUCCAUUUGCAGUUGUUGCACCUGUGGCUCUAUUUAUUUUUGGAACUCUAUCUAUAUUUCUGAUUAAGUAAAUUUAGGUUUCAGCCACAAAAAAAAUUUCACUUUUGAAAAAAGCCAAAAUUUUUCCCAAAAAGACAAAAAAAACCUCUCAACUUUCAAACCAAAGACAUUCAAAUGUAAAUAAUUCCUUAAAAAAUCCAAAAAUAAUAAGGGUAUUUUUAUCCAUUUUAAUUUCUUUCAAAAAUAUUUUUCUCUCAUUUGGUCUUUUUCAAAAAUGUCCCUUCUGAUAAUAUGUAUAUAUAUGUGAUUAAAAAAUCAGGUGGAUUCUUGUAAUAAUUCAGUCGGCAAAUCUAGAGGAUGCAGGACCAUUACGUACAGUUAGCCCCACUCAAAAUCACGCACAGUCCCCCGUGAAGUGAAGGACCAACUUGACAAAGCUCCCAGGUCCCAGCACAGGCAGAUUGUCUCUUCUUUUGGUCCACAUAAAAACUCCAAAUUUAGGUAAAUUGUUAAGGAUAAUUCAUCUAAAACACAAUGCAAAAAUUCAAAAAGAAAAAUUUAUACACACAUGUAUAUACUAUCAUUGGCGAGAAUAUUCCUACUUAUUAGGGAAGUAUUUUCCAAUUGUUAGUCUCAUCGAUAGAUGUACCUAUUCCUUAGUGGGGUGAGCUUAAUUAGUUGACUUGGCUUGUUAGCAUAGAUGAUGUAAAUAACAAAAAAGAUAGGGUAUAGAAAAAUAAAUAUGAUGAUAUUGAAGUAAGGAAAGAAAAAAAAAAACAAAAAGAUUUGCAAGCAGAAAAGGCCAACUUUUUUAAUUUUAUGUGCCGAAGACCUAAAUUCAUCCGAAUCUUAUAUUUUAUUUGAGCUCCGAUUAUAAUAACAUUCUUAUUUGUGAAAUCUGUACGUGCACAAAAGCAUAUAAUAAACUAGUAUAGAUGAAAUGAUGAGCAACAAAAUAUGGUAAACUUUAUUGUGGUUCCAAUCUACUUGGAUAACCGUAGCUCAAAGCUAUAUAGAACUGUUGAACAUUAAGCCUUAGAACUGGGCGCAGAUGCUCAUACACUUGGCACCUUCACAAACCCUAAUACAUUUAUCACUGUUGGCGUUCGAUAUCUGGGGUGUGCAUUGAAGAGUUUUCUUGCAAGGAAUAGUCCAGCAACCCACAAUCACGAUGACGGCAAAGAUUAUAAAUAUACCCAUGCAAAGUACGAAGUAGAACUCACGUAGAUGAUUUGUAACAACAGGAAUGACCCUCCUUUUAUGCCUUACUUCCGAUUCAUCCUUAAUAUCCAGGGUCGUAGGAUGAUGAGAAGCAACCUGUGGAUGUUGAAUAUUUGUCGUAUCCCAGUAGGUUAAUAUUUUAGUUUUGAGCCCUUGAUCUGAAGGUGAAGUUUCUAGCUUGCUCAGAUCACUUUCCAAUUCAAUGAGCUCACUCUUGGUUUGGUGUCUCUGCAUGACGCUUCUUUUAUAAUUGCUUCCAAUUACAAGCAAUGAAACCAAGUUGAGUAUAGCUGCUAUCAGAGAGAGGCUGAAAAGGAACCAGCGAUCUGAGCAUCUGAGGGCUGAGGUGGCAGUGACGAUAGCCCCCAAAAUAAUACCUUGAAAGACGAAGUAGUAGUUUGCAAGGUUGAAGGCGCUCGUUUGAAGUUGAUGUACUUUAUCAUCCUGCUUCUCAAUGGUAGUUAGCAACUCCUGUUUUCUUUUCUCCAUGUUUUCUCUCUUUUCUUUGUCACCAUUUGGUGGGUAUUGAUGGUUAGCCAUACUCAAUCUAUAAGAAAGCUAAAGAUAAGAAUGCAAGGAGGCUUAGAGUAAUUAAAUUCCCCUCCAACUCCAUACAACUUAUAUACACAGAGAUAAUUCUGUUGGCCUUUUGAAUUAGCCAAUACGCUCUCACCAACCCUCGCACUCAGCUCCACACGUUAUUACACAAGAUACACUACAAAAGCCAACGGGAUAGCAACCCCUAGGCAUGAGUGCGUGUGAGUAACCCCCUUCCCCUUCCUACCUUCGACACAAGAAAAAGGGCAUAAAGGAUUUUGCAUUGAUGAUGUUGUGGACCGAAUCACCCAAAAACAGAGGAAAAAACAUACUGAGGAAAGUGGGUCUAAGUGCUUCUCCAUUUGAAGAGUGAGAACAUCUCUUUGGCAAAGUUUACACCGUUCAAAGGGAUUACGCUACAAACCUGCUUUUGCUUUACAGAUCAUCCACACACAAAAGCUUGAGCACAUGUGGCUUAAAACAAUUCAGUGAUGAAACCAUGAAAAUAAUUGAAGAUCUCUAGUCUGUAAUUCAAUCAUUUCAAGCUCAAGGUCGUCUGGUGGAGGGGCCCCUAGUUUGUCUCUAAUGAUAAUUCGCAAUUGAUAAUGGGUCAGAAAAGUUUGAGACACUCUUCCUCUUUGGGAUCAUCUUUUCCACUAGAGAAAAUGAGCUUCCUUUUCAUAUCUAUGCGCGUCAAGAUAACACAGAGCAACCUCGUAUUGCGAAUGCUCUGUUUACCAGUGACAAAAAAAAAUGACAAAUAUGCAACCCGAGCUCAAUUGUAAUUUUCUCCUAUCUGGAGAAGGAUGAGAGGGUGUAGCUUGUAUGAGCAAUGCCAACCGACAUAUUGCAUAAUUAAAUUGUUAAUAUCAACUGCAUAACUGAUAAUCUUAUAUCAUAUGUCUAAAUAAAGAAAAACAAUCCUUCUUCUCGAAGUUGUCUAUCUACGUGGAACUCCAUUCAAAACGAGUCUUGAAUCAAAGUGGAUUUGGACGGCUUGAAAUACUAUUUCUCCAAUAAAAUAUGAAAAGGCCAUCUUAUCAGUCACCAUGAUACUUUAUUUCUUACAAAGUUUGAAUAAAAUUUGACCACAACUGCAUCUAUUAUUAGAACUUGAAUACUUUAGGGAAAAAAACACGCAAUUGACUUUUUAGAGAGCCCAAAACUAUUAAAAAAUUAUUUUUUUUUAAACCUCACACGCUGACCCCAAACCUAGUAAAGGAUGAUGCAUUCACCCUCAAAUUCCAAUGAUAUGGGCCGACUGGUCCAAAAUUGUCAUGUAGUGGGCCCUAUAUAAUUGAACCGCCCGGUUCAAAGGCUGGGCUUUAUAGUGGGAUCGGUUUAUACUAGAAAUUGAAAGCCUACUUUUUCUUUGAGACUGACUGGUCUAUGUAAUAACAAGAAGAAAUGAAAACCCAUAAUUCUCAAAAUUACGAACCAGCCAGACCCAAAGAGCACAACCCAACCAAAAAGCUCCAUUCCAGCAAAUGUCAUCAAAUUAUAGUGACUAAAGUCUUUAGUCAUCCAAAUAAAUGUCAUCAAAUAAUGGUAACUGUUGACACCUUUUUUUUUUUUUGUAGUGUACCCUUGUUGACUAAAAAAAAAAUUGAAAUUUCAACGGCACAUUAUUAUAUGAGAAAAUUCUACAAAAUUGCCCUCCCACGUGAAUCACGCAAGCAGAUAGAUCAAUCGUAACGCUGACAGCCUUACUCUAUUAUACGGAGAAUUCUUUUGCCAUUGAGGCUUCCUUAAUGCGCCAUAAUUGUCUUUCACUUAAAAUCUGGGCUCCCUCCUCCAUCCCUCAUUGCUCUCUCAAAUUUGUUGGAUUUUGGCUAAUUGCAUCAUUUGCUUAAUCUAAGCAUGUGGGGUGUGUGAAUAUCUUGCUCUGAUAUCAUAUUACAAUAUGAGAUUCCAUCAUAAAACCAACUGGCAAUGCAAAAUCAUUUGAUUUGUCACUGUGGAAUUCACACUCACCACUUUAAUAUGAAGUAAAGAACAUUAUCUAAAUUCUCAGAAGCUCGUGUUUUUUGCUUUAACGAACAAUGUUGAGAUCAUGUUAAUUAGAUACGAAGCGUUCAGAUGACAGUCACCGGGAAAUUAAAUCGUCCAAAAAACAAGACUUGAAUUUCGCAUUUGAAUUAAGCUUUUGUUGGAGCGUAGAGCAUUGCUAUACUGAUUAUGCUGUCUGCUGAGAUUGUUGCUCAGGUUAGAUUUUGGGGCAACAUAUGCUGUCUGCUACUUUCUCUAGAUGCUGUUGUCUUUUUUAUUCACAAGCUCUCAAUUGUUAACUUUCACAGUGAAGUCUUCCUUGCAAGCUCUACCAUUUAAUUACAACUAGAAAUCAGCGCCACUGCAUAUAUCAAAGAACUUCAAUUGUUUAUGAAACUUUUUACAAAUAAACAUAAAAACUUUUCAUUUAUUCGAACUCAAAUACAAUCGCGGUCUCAUUUAUUUUAACCAGUACUACACUCAGAUAUGAUGAUUAUGAGACAUGAUUUCUACUAAUUCGGUAAUGAAAUAGGGAGUAGGGCAACCUCUACGAAAAACAUAUAAACUUGAUAAAGGCAAAAAUGUAAACAUAAAGAAAAACAGCUAAACGUUUAUGUUUUCCAAAAUUCCAAAACACUUACCGUAGGAGGAGGAGAAAACUGACGUGGCUGGGCAAGCCUUAUUUUCCUGCUCCUUUGCAUAAUCCCUUAGAGAUGCUCUUAAGACUGGUUUAUGGAAUCAGUCUUUACAGAUAACGAAUCGACAGGCUAUUAAGAUGAUAACCGUGUAGACAAGAAGGGCAGCAAAUACCAAGUAAAUGAAGCCAUUUCUCUGAUAAACGUCCACAACAUCGCCCUUCAAAAUCUGUUGCUGUUGCUGAAGCAGAUCAUGAGUAUUGGUUGGAUCUCUUUGUUGGAGCAUUUUUCGGUGGUGAUUCGAAUCUCGCUCCAUGACAGUGAUGUCGUGCUGGUGUUGUAUACGUUCCAACUUGCUGGCGAAUCUGGUGAAGCUUAUGGAAAAGAUGAAAGUAAUCAGAGACGAGAGGCUGAACGGAAUCCACCAAUGCUGGCAGGAGAUGAUGGCUGGGUUUUGGAGAAAAACAGACAAGAAUAUAACAGCUUGGAAGAAAAUAUAAGCGAUGACCAGCUUUAUCGUCGUUGUUUCAUAAUAUCUGACUUUUUUGUGUUGUUUUUCUUCAAGGGAAGCUAAUUUGAUGGAUUGCAUGUCCGUUUGCUCUUCUGGAUCCAUGUUUCGUUCUUGUUAAGUUUUGUGUACAAAUUGAAGAUAGUAAGCAGACUCUUGUUCCAAACGAGUGACUACAAAUUGAAGUUAGAGAUGGAAUUUCAGUGAUUUUUAUUUUAAAGGCAAUCGCACUAUACCUGGUUUAUAUUGAAAGGCAUUCUCCAAACCUGUUGUCCCUUUCGGAGUUGAAUAUACAUCUCCCUUACGAGAAGAACUUGUAUAUCACCAUAUCCAACCAAUCACGUUAUAUACAAGUUUUUCCACUCCCUGUCUCUGUCCCAAAUUUAGCCUGUCUCUGUGCCAAAUAAAAAUGAAAUACCAUAGUUUUUAAGUUCCGAUUUUACCCUUGCUGAUUGUCCGUGAACACCACUCUCGUAUUUAUCUAUACAAAAAAGACUUCAAAUAUAGGACCAGAAACCAAACCCACCAUCUAAUCUUCUCCCACCCAAGAUCUGCCAUAGCCACCACCCUGCCCAGUCUUUAUAAAAUAUAUGUAUAUAUAUAUAUAUAUAAAAGUCCCUUUUUAUUGAGGGAUCUAUCAAAUAAUUUUAUUUGAGGGACAUCCUUUAGGGUCCCUUACAAAUUGUUUAUAACAAUCUGAACUAUUUAUUUUUUUAAGUCUACAUUCAUAGAUUAUUCUUGCAAAAAAUUAGACAAAUCGAAAACCGUUUCGACAUCCAAUUGUGUCAUACAAAAUCAAUUAACACUAUACUUCAAGAAAGUAUUAAAAUUUCAAUAAUUCAAUUGAGUGGUCAAACGAUAUUGGAUUGAAGUGAUUUUUUUGUAGAGAUGAUCUUUGAUUGAAUAUAUACAAAAUAGACGGUUUUGGUUAGUGAAAUAUAAUACGAAGUAGGUCUUAUAAGGAUGUCCCUUAAAUAAACUUAUUUAAGGGAUCCCUCAACUGAAGCUAUAUAUAUUUAAACACAUAAAAUAAGAAGGAAAGUAAAGCUGACACACUCAAAGGAUUAAGAGCGAAACUGGUCCAUGAAAUAGAGCGAGAGAAGUGAGUGUUCUUUUGGGUAGAGAUAGAAACUUGGAUGAUGCAAAACUUGACCUGAAUGACUGUUUUGAUUAUCUUUUUGAUCCACCCUUCUUUUCUGAACAAAAAAGCUAUUAAUUAGUGUUCCUUUGUACGUUUGCCAUCCACCAUAAUGAUGAUUAAUGUGUAGUUAGUUAAGAGGGCCAGGUGCCAGUAUAGUGGUAAAGCUAUAUAAGCUGACUUAGCUUAUGCUCUAUACUAAGAUCAGUUGGGUACAAUCUCAAAGGAUUGCAAAGGACCCACAAAUGUAGCGGUUUGGAAUAAUUGAUCUCCCAAUGCAAGAUCUUAUGUUCGAAUCCUAGCAUCCAUAUAAUGUGUCUGAGUUUAAUUAGCAUAUUAUCGAUCCUCUCAAUAGGAAAAGUCUUAAAAUAUAUAUAUAUAUAUAUAUAUAUAUAUAUAUAUAUAUAUAUAUAUCAGAGGAUUACUGCACAGAAUUCUUUAUUUCUAAUUUGUGAUUUCUUUUAUUUCAUUCUUUUGGUUCCAUGUUAUGAUCUUUGUAAACAAUUACUUUUCUUAUACUCUUCCUUCCAUCCAAUUUGACCAUGACCUUUCCACAAAACUCAUAUGUCUAUAUUUCAAGGAUCCAAUAGAAUCAAAGUUCGGGGGAUGACGAGCACUUAUUCUUGAUUGGAUGGUUGAUCAAGAAAUUGAUAUGUGUUUGUUGUAUUUGGGGAUUUCUACCAGAACUUUCUCAAGAAGACUAUAUGGUAUUUUGUUUGGCCGGAGGGUUUUCUGACUUGCAAAAGGUUUGAGCUAAGUGAGGACAUGAACCUGCGUCUCUACAGAUGAAAGCAUCAUUUGACUAAUCAUGCGCCACUUGCAUUUCAUAUUGGACCCAAAGUUUGUUCAGAAUUUUGAUUUUUCGAUUGUUGACAAAAUUAGUGAAUUUCUAUUCUACCAAAAUUUCUAUGUCUACACACACCACGCAUCUACCAAGCAAGCCCAAUAUGAAAGCAAACAAGCUGUCAAUCUUAAACGAAAAUGAGAGACAAGGACAAGAGAAAGCAAGGGAGACCUAACAGGGAACGCAAACGAAAAGGAAGACCCAGAAAGAUUUGUCAGCAUAUGAAUUGCGGAUCAGAUGCAGUGCCUUCUCUGCGUUCAAUUGCUUUCAAUCUCUACAAGUCGGAGCUGUCUGUACCAUCCAUUCAAAUUUCAAUUGGAAAGACAAAACAAACUUUAAUUAUCGAACAGUACUAUCGAUGGAAAAAAGAAGAAGAAAAGAAAGACAGCGAAGCCAGGAACAAAGACCAAGACGAUUCCAAGUCAAUUGGCCCGUUUAUCUCCCUUAGUUUUUUUACUUCGUUUGUUAAAUAAUUAUGGCCAUGUCCGGGUCCAUUCUGAUGAACUGAUUUUAAAUCUAGAGAUUUAGAUGACAUCAUAAUUAUCAAAUCCAAAUUCAUUCUUUUAAAAAAUCCAAACUGAGGCUUAUAGUUUGAUUUUGCUAAGUCGAAACUGUCUUAGCUUGAUGAUUAUAAGGUGUUUUUUUUUUUUGUCAUUCAUGUGUAUUAAAGGCCUAAAUUCAUCAGAAUCUUAUACUUUAUGUGGUCUUUAUUUAAUGCAUGGCAUCGAGUUGCAUGAUGUGAUGCGUGCUUGGGUCAAGACAAAGAAAAAUUUGUGUCGAGAGACCUUAAGCAUGGGUGGGUGGCUAAAGGCAAAAUUAGUAUCUAAUAGCAAAUAAUCAUGUUUAUUAGCUAUUAGACAUUAAUGUCUUUAGCACAUCAGCACGUGCCACUUGACUAUUAAUAUUUUUUUUCUUAUGAUACGCGAUAAUAUAAAAAAUAAUUGAACUAACACUACUAUGUUAUAUAUUUUAGGAAUGUUAAGAAAUAACACUUAGAAAAGUCACAUAUAUUCUUAAAGCAUCUCUAACUGAUGUGUUUAAAUUGCCACAUAGUAUGUUCCUUAGACUUGGUUUUCUUGGUAAAUCGUUAUCACACAAAAUCAUACAAAACAUUGCAAUUGACUAGCACGAACUCCAACUGUAGUGGCAUUGAUAAGUGGAGGGUGAAACCCAGAAUUUAUUGUUGAUCAACGUACACUUCACUACUGAAGAAGCCCUAGUAUUGGGUGCAGAUGCUUAUACACUCGGUGCCUUCACAAAGCCUAAUGCACUUCUCACUGGGGUACUUGCCAUGGUGAGCUUCCCUACAGGGAAUGGUCCAGCAACCCACAAGCACGAUGAUGGCAAAGCUUACAAAGAGACCAAUGCAAAUUUGGAAGUAGAUAGCACGUAGAAUUUUUUUAUAUUUAUCAACAUGAGCGGACCAAGCGCUUUCAGGAUCUUGAGAAGCAACCUGUUGAUGUUGUCUUGGCACUGAAGUAGUUGGUCUCAGUUCAGAAGCUUGUUGUAGGCUUCUAGGAUCUAGGGAAGCAGCCUCUUGAUGUUGUGUUGGCGCUGAAGGACUUGGUUCACAUUCAGAAACUUGUAUUUUUGGAGAAUUCUCGGAUCUUCUGUCUGAAUUAUGUGAAUAAUUUUGCUUGGCCUGAGUACUUUGCAAUUGAUCGCGUUCCAGGAUGGUAUUGUCUCUAUGCAUGAGGCUUCUUUUAUAAUUCCCUCCAAUUACAAUCAAUGAAAACAGAUUAAGUAUGGCCGCUAUUAGAGAGAGACUGAAAAAGAACCAACGAUCUGAGCAUCUAACAUUGGCAAUGCCCCCCAAAAUAACUCCUUGAAAAACGAAGUAGUAGUUUGCAAGGGUGAAGGCACUGGUUUGAAGAUGUUUUACACGAUCACUCUGGUUCUCAAAUAUAGUUCGUAGCUCCUCUUUUCUUUUCUCUAUAUUUUCUUUCUCCACAUUUGUUGGACAUGGAUUGUUAGCCAUCAGUAUGCAGCACACGCACAGAAGUGGAUAAUGCACUCACACUAAAAGAGCUAAAGAUGUAUAAGAAUAUGCAAAGUGUAGAGCAACCUCCUCCUUUACUACUAUAUAUAUAUAUAUAAAGAUAGAUUCUAAUAAAAUCUUCCUUCUAAGAAACAUAUGGCACUGCAUGGCAUUGGCAACAACUUAUUUAUUUAUUUAUUUAUUUUUAUACAAACGAUAUUCUAAUAUAUAUUUUGAUUUUCUGGAUCUUUUAGUUUUUUAAUCUAAUAUAAGAAAAAUGUGAGCCAUUGGGCUAGUUCUUUUUGUUUUUUUUUUUUCAAACGGUACAAUAAGUGGAUUACGUGACUUUAAUUUUUUUCGUAAGUCCUUAGAAGUCAUGAGGGUGAAAAUAACAACACCUUAUUUAUUUUGUCCAAAACCUCCUGUAACAGAUGCAGAAUAAUCUUCACCUGAUUUUUGGUGUUCCAACUCGAAUAUUUAAAAAUAGCAUGAUGCCAGGUCAGAUGAUUGGAUUUGGUGUGACCACCCAAUAAGAAACAGCCACAUAUGCCUAUGUUAUCAACUCAGUUUCCCUCCAAAUCUAAUAGUGUCCACAGAGAGGACUGGUUUUUGAAGACGUAGGAUCUUUUCUUGCAAGGCAGGAUUUGGCAGCUUCAAACAAAUCAAACAUGAGCCAAGACUUUUCAUUCUCUUUCUCUCGUCCACUUAUUUGUCCAUAAACUCUUCUGACAAAUUUUUCACCAAAACCAGUUGGAUGGGCAGGUGACCAAAAGAGGACCUAUAUUUGGUUGGCGGCUCAGGUAACUCAUUUUCCUGAUUGUCUUUAAAGACAGCAUUUGAGUACUGUAUUUAGGGUGCCGGGUCUUGCUCUGAAAUUCUUUUACUUUAAUUUGCUACGAAAACUAGCGUUAUAAUUGUUGUCCAUUGUUCUAUUUUCGACAACUCUGUGUUCAUUCCUUUCAAUUAUACAUACAUAACUUGAGGUUCUACAUAUAAGAAGGCCAAUUAGAAAAUCAUAUAUGAGGAUUAGUUUGGUUGUGUCCUACCUUUGCAAGUUCAUCUGCAAUGCAACUAUAUUCGCCUCUCCAUAAGCGCACCUUGAAUAAAGCUAAUUCUUGUAGUUUUUCAAACAAUUCUGGGCCGAAGUUUGCUUACACAUGGCUUUCCAAUCGUAGCCAUUGGGCUGCAAUUCAGUAGGGAAAAUACGGGGGCUAUUUCCAACAUUUUUAGUAGAGGAAUUUUUCUAUACGAACGUUAGGACGUUACGGAUAUCCGAAUGAGAGAAUAACUAUAUAUAUAAACAAAGGAGACCUCGAUCCAUUACAAUGAAUCUAAUCAACUAUAUUAUUCUGACCCAUAGGAAUCCUUAUUUCCAUAAAUUGUCCAAUUCCAAACUUGGGGAAAUUAUUAGGUAGCACUGGGCAUUUGCCAACUUAUAAUACAUACGAAUAAUAGGAUGACGCCUGGACAUACUAAGGAGCAGAGAAUAACUAACAUUAUAUGUAAAUGGACUUUUAAGUCACCCGCAACCUUAUGCCCAAGAAAAUUUUGAGCAGCGAUGGUUGUCUUUUGUGCCAAACAAAGUAUAUGAUAAUUUGCAGAUAUAUUAUUUUUAAUAUGAAGGUAUUUAUAAAGAUGUACAAUGUGGUAAAUUCUAAAAUAAUUACAUAACGAAAGAAAUCCUAAUUACAAUAUUAUUAUACAAAGGGUAAGUUGUUAAAUAAAAAAAAUAAAAACCAAAAUUCCUAAUUACAAUAUAUUAUGGGUUUUUUUUUGGGGAUCCAUAUGUGUAUAAUAGCAUUCAUAUAUUUUGUAUUUAGCAUAUCUACAACUAUAGGUAAACAUUCUGUGCAAGCGUAGGUAAAUUAAUCUAAGUAAAUUAGUGUACCUGCAAAAUAUAGGUAAAUUUAGUAUGAUAUUUAUAAAUUAGUAUACUUAUGAAUUAGUAUAGGUAAAUUAAUAAUCUGUUUAAGUGCUGAUAAAUUAAUAUGUACAAGUACAUAUAUGUAGGUAAAUUAGUAUGAUAUUUUGUAAAUUAGUAUAUCUACGAAUUAGCAUAGGUAAAACCAUAGGAUAUUUUGUAUUUAGCUUACCUACACUACUAGAAAACUGCGGUAAAAGCACGAAUUCCAUUUGUGCUCUUUAUGUCAAAGAACAUGAAUAAUUGUGCUCUAUGAAAAUACUUACGGUGCAGCCACUAUGAAGUUGUUGGUCUCUAGUAUAGGAGUUUACAUUGCUUAUAGAGCACAAAUUCAUCAGUUCGUGUCAGACAAUUAAAGCACAAAUGAAGCAUUUGUGCUUAUAUUGUGAUAGAGUUUUUCUAUUUAAACCCCACACUUUUCUUUGUUUACCUCAAUACUUAAAUCAUUAAGCUCUUAAGUUUUAUUGUUGUGUAAAAAGACAAAAAAUAUCAUCUGACUUAAUACUUAACCCUAGUACAUCUAUACACCCACACACCCCACCACUCUUCAUAUUAAGUUUUAGAAAAACACAAACUCAUCUACACCCUAUUGCUAUAUUACUCUUCUCUUUCAAUCCAAGAAACCUACUACACUCUCAUCUUCUCUUCAUAAACCCGAAGCACGGUAUGCAAAUAGUGGCUUGUGGGUCAUCAAUUGAGGUAUGUAAUGUGAGUUUAUUUCUUGGUUUGGGACUCCUCCCAGAAUUAUUGAGGAUGUUGUGAUUAAAUAUUUGCUGUAAUUCUGAGGUUGGGAUGCACUUAGAGUGGUGAGGAAUAAGAUAGCGAUGUGUGGGGUGUGGGGUGUAAAGUUGAUGAGUUUUUUUUAAUUUUUUUUCUUCUGUUGGGUGUGUAUUUAGGGGUAGUUUGGGAAAAUAGUGGGGUUUUCUUAGAAUUGAGAAAAUUUGAAUUAGAAGUCAGGGUGAACUUAGAAUAUGGAGUGAACAAAGAGAAGUAUGAGAUUUAAAUAGAAAAACUCUUUUGAUAAAUGACUAAGAUGGUAGCUGUGCCCCACCUAUACUCUACCUCUUUAUCAACUCUUGGAGAAUAUUAAAAUAAUAUAUUUUAUUCAAUAUGGACACAAAUAACUGUGGCUAAAAAUGCAAACUUUUAUAAUAAAAAAUUUAAAAAUUUAAAAAAAACUCAAAUACCAAAAACAAAUAAAUUUUGUUACAAUAAUUCUUUGUACAACUAUGAGUAUCUACAUAUUUUACAGAUUUACAAAAGUUCCUCUUGACAAUAGCAUCUUCCAGUCUCCAUAUGCUUUCUUCUUCUUUCAAUUCUCGACAUCUUCAUCUUCCCAUUUCAAAAUUGCAUACAAUCGGAUUCAGUGAAGAAAAUCCAAAAUGCCAAAGAAUUACAAGAAAUCAAAUAAAACCAAAUUUAAUUGAGGAGCACAACAAAAUUCUCAAAGAAAUAGCAGUUGCAAUGGCAAUGGUAGUAGCAAAUGCAGCACACUCACCAAGAAUUUAGGCAGUCAAUAUCCGGAUAAAGGUUGCAAAGAGUGAGAGGAUUUCAACGUCAAAUGUGUUUCAAAAAACUGUAAUGUAAAGACAGAGAAAGGAAGAAGAAGAAGGAAAAAGAAAAGAACAUAAAAAACAGUGAGGGAGAAAAUAAAAACAAAAAAAAAUGGAAAAUAGAAAGAUGAAAAGAAGACAAGAGAGAGGCAUGUGUUUUUCUCAAUGAAAUAGGCGUGCGUGUUGUUGGCAUGCUUAUCUUUAAUAUAUUCAUUUUCAAUGAGAUAUUUCGAGAGGAGAAAUGCUAGCAACAUUCUCUCUAACCUUCUUUUUUGGACCUUUUUCCUUUUUUGCUUGACAUGUGUCAUUCUCCUUACACUUAAAACAAUGUCAUUAAUAUAUUAUACAAGUUAACUUUUGCUUUCCAAGUUUACCCUUAUUAAAUGUAUUCAAUUUAUCCAAAAUAAUUUCACAACUUUCUUUGUUACAUCCCGGGAUCGGCUCUGCCGUAGCACGAUAUUGUCCGCUUUGGGCCCCCCUCUCUGCCCUCACGGUUUUGUUUCUGGGAGCUCACGAGCAACUUCCCAGUGGGUCACCCAUCCUGGGAUUGCUCUAGGCCCCAACUCGCUUAACUUCGGAGUUCCUACGACUCCGAAGCCAGUGAGCUCCCAAAAGACCUCGUGCUAGAUGGAUGCGGGUGUGCACAUAUAAGGCACAUCACCCCCUCUCCGUUGGUUGAUGUGGGAUCUUACAAUCCACCCCCCUUAAGGGCCCGACGUCCUUGUCGGCACACUCACACCACACGGCAGAGUGGCUCUGAUACCAAAUUUAAGGACCCGCCCCGAAUUUUCUCAAAAUCCGAGACGAACCCUUUGGAAUUCCUGACAUCACCCCGAUGCCAAGCCCACUUACUAAAGGUCGAGACUUCCUGCCGAAAUUUCGGCAGAGUCUCCCCUAUAAAUUGGACAUUUCCCAAAAUUUCAACCUGCAUAAAAACACAUUUAAUAUCCACAACUGGCAGCAUGCACAAUAUAAUUUCAUGCAAAUUCUCAUAAAUGGCCUUCGGCCUUCCAAUAAUUCUCAAACAACUACCAAACAAUUCAAAUACAAAUUAUAACUAAUAUUUAAUCUGUGGCUGUACCUAAUAACCUCAGGCUGCCUACGUACCCUCCUUGAGGGAUCAAUCCACACGUAGUUCUUCCCUAAAAACCCAAUUCCACACUUGGGCGAUGCCUUAUUUCAUUUCUCUGUAUUUCACAUAUUCUCCCCAUACGCCGGUACAACCAACGCCACGUAUGGGGCCUGUCAACACGCCGAAUAACCUACGCCACGUGCGACCAUGCCAUACUAUCAUAAUAUAUCCCCAUACGCCAGUACAACCAACGCCACGUAUGGGGCCUGUCCCAACGCCGGAUAACCUACGCCACGCGGGACCUCAAUAUCAUAUCACAAAUCUCCCCAUACGCCGGUACAACCAACGCCACGUAUGGGGUCUGUCGACACGCCGGAUAACCUACGCCACGUGCGACCUCAACACAAUAUCACAAUAGCUCCCCAUACGCCGGUACAACCAACGCCACGUAUGAGGCCUGUCUCAACACCGGAUAACCUACGCCACGUGAGACCUGAACAUCAUAUUACGAAUCUCCCCAUACGCCGGUACAACCAACGCCACGUAUGGGGUCUGUCCCAACGCCGGAUAACCUACGCCACGUGGGACCUAACUUUCACUUGGUGGUGCAUGUAGUGAAUCCAACAUCCGGGGAGGUACCUAAAGUAGUGCGUAUAGCACUCCAAACUGACAUUCUAGACUCUGUUGUACCCUUGUACAACCAUAUAUAACUUAUAAUUAUAUAAAUUAAUUCUAAUAUUGUGUAACCCUCCACAAUCAUCUAGCACCAGAUAAUCCCCCCUAGAAAGGUGAGAUUACUCCAGGAGACUCACGGUCAACCAAGGGUCAAACUACUCUAACCUUGGUCAACUGGACCUGCAGAACCCACGACUUCCAAUUUCGGAUCCGAAAGUCCCUAUGAGUUCUACCAGGUAAAAGACACUUAUCCUGCAAGUUUGGUUCAGAUCAGACGGUCGGAUUUCUCAUGAUCGCAUGAUCUGACGGUUAAUAUAAAAUAUAAACUAUAAAUUAUUAUUCGGAACAUCCGGGGCUCCGACUCACGAUCCGUGAAUUCCUACACGAUCCUAGAAUUACCUAGAUUAACAUAUAUUAAAUUUAGGACCAUCCGACGGUCCCAACCUAUCGAACCCGGAUAACGCACAAUAUGCGAAUAUCCGUUCGACAGUCAAACGAUGUCCGAAUUGAGAUCCGCGAAAUCCUACGCACUCGUGACAACCUAAGGAUCUCAUCAGAACAAUCGCUACUUUUUCUACAGUGCCCACGCGCCACCGCACGCGCCGGCAGCGCGUGGGUGCCCAAAGCGAUAACGCUUCGCCGAAAAAUCUCAAAACCACGGCUCCAAACUCCUACCCUAGGUAUAACACCCUAUUUGGAGCCACUUUUGUUCUUGGACCUACCCCAAAAAGUGGCCAGAAAUGGCCGAUCACGGCGGCCGAAGUUUCGACCGAUUUUCAAUUCGAAAAUCGAGUUGCCUACGCUAAGAAUCGAUCUAAUCCUACCCAACCAUCAGCUAGAGCAGCUCGAGAGGUUCAAAAUCCAUACUGGGUCAACGGAAUUGGUGGCCGGAGGAGGGAGAUCGACGGCGUUGAAGUUCCGGCGACAUCCGGACGAAAAUCGCCAUUUUCCGGCGGCCGAUGGCGGGGAUGGGCUAGGUCGUGACGCCGAGGUCGAGCCGGUUCUUUUGACACCGGCCCCGUCCGCAGCCGCGGCCGGUGGCCGGAGUUACGAAGAGAGAGAGAGGAGAGGCCGACGGAAGAGAGAGAGAGAAGUCGCGGGAGAGAGAGAGAGAGAGAGAAAAAAAAAUCUGAGUUUUAUAAAAAUCUCAUUUCGAAAUAUUUACGAUUGUGCCACUGGGCUUCUUUUGACCAUAUCUCUCUCGUUACAACUCCAAUUCGAGCCCACUACGUGUCUAUGAACUCGUCUCAGUACGACCUAUCCAAAAAUACUAGUCACUGCCCCAAACUCUCUCCGGUUAAAAAUAUGACUAAAAUACCCUUAAAUAAUUAAAUAAUUAAAUAAGGGAUAAAUUCGGGGUCGGGGUGUUACAAUUGUAAGAUCCCACAUCAACCAACGGAGAGGGGGUGAUGUGCCUUAUAUGUGCACAUCCGCAUCCAUCUAGCACGAGGCCUUUUGGGAGCUCACUGGCUUUGGAGUCGUAGGAACUCCGAAGUUAAGCGAGUUGGGGGCUAGAGCAAUCCCAAGAUGGGUGACCCACUGGGAAGUUGCUCGUGAGCUCCCAGAAACAAAACUGUGAGGGCAGAGAGGGGGGCCCAAAGCGGACAAUAUCGUGCUACGGCAGAGCCGAUCCCGGGAUGUGACAAUUUGGUAUCAGAGCUUUAGGUUCAAUUCCCUGUGGACCCUGCACUUUAUGUGCAUCCUUAAAUUGUGGGGAUCAAAAAUGGGUUCCAUCUCGGAAUGGUACAUUUGCGACGUUAAAGACGUCACAAAAGUCAAAUUAUUUCACAGAGGAAAGAUACAUAGGCCGCCGGAGCAUAGGAAGGGCUGGAGCUUUACCACAGACAGUGGUUGUUUCAGAAGUUCCGGAAGAUUGCGAAUAGAAGCCGAAAGUUUGCAUAGGGUAAGACCUGUACUUAUGGUACAGUUGGAUGUCCCUAUGACAAAGUUGUCCGUUGAGUCCGCAUAAGCGGGAGGUAGGGAGUUGAUCAACCUGCUUCUAGGGAUCCUCCAUUGCCUGAACAUGUUGCUAAUUUUCGACUGUGUGCCUAGAGCAUAGAGUUGAAGAUACUAAGAGCACAACCUUUCUCUAGGAGGAGCAACUCCCUGACAUUGGAUCAAGGGAUCCAAGAUCUGAAAGGUGGUGUUAGAAUAAUCGAAAUCACAAGUGUGGAAAAGAUUAAAAUAGCCUUAAUUCUCUUACAGAAAGAGGCUCGUGUGUGGUGGGAAUACUGUGGUCAAGUCUAAGGACGAGACCCAGAUGGAUUGAGAAAUCCUACCUAUAGAGAUGGAGAGAGUACUUUGGGGUGUCAUCUCACGUGAGCACGUUUGAGUAGAGAUCUUUCAUUGGAAUCAGAAAUGGAUCAUGGUCGAGAGAGAUCGACGAUGAUUACAAUUCGGUAAAAAUGAUCCUUUCUGACUUUUCUCUCAAAGAAUCGUGUUAGCAAAUUAAAGGGAGAAGUAGUGGAGUUGGGUGGAACCGUACUUCAUUCGCGUGGGCUUGAAUGUCGCGAUUGACAGGAGUGGAACAUUAGGGUUCUUCCUCCUUGCUCUCCUACGCGAGCUCGCCAUAGAGGGUAUUCUUAGUUGGAGAAGGAGACUUCUCUUUCUCUGUUUGCUCUUUUGGCUUGGUCGCCAACACGGUUGUGGAGAAGGAACUUGGGAACCCGAGUGGUAGAUGCGGGCCCCAUGCUCACAACCCUUCGAAUGACAGGUAGGAAAUUUCGGGGAUGAAAUUUUUAUAAGGGGGGUAGAUUGUAACACCCCGACCCCGAAUUUAACCCUUAUUUAAUUAUUUAAUUAUUUAAGGGUAUUUUAGUCAUAUUUUUAACCGGAGAGAGUUUGGGGCAGUGACUAGUAUUUUUGGAUGGGUCGUACUGAGACGAGUUCAUAGACACGUAGUGGGCUCGAAUUGGAGUUGUAACGAGAGAGAUAUGGUCAAAAGAAGCCCAGUGGCACAAUCAUAAAUAUUUCGAAAUGGGAUUUUUUAUAAAAACUCAGAUUUUUUUUUUUCUCUCUCUCUCUCUCUCUCUCUCUCUCUCUCUCUCUCCCGCGACUUCUCUCUCUCUCUCCCGUCGGCCUCUCCUCUCUCUCUCUUCGUAACUCCGGCCACCGGCCGCGGCUGCGGACAGGGCCGGUGUCAAAAGAACCGGCUCGACCUCGGCGUCACGACCCAGCCCAUCCCCGCCAUCGGCCGCCGCUCCAGCCGCCGGAAAAUGGCGAUUUUCGCCCGGAUGUCGCCGGAACUUCAACGCCGUCGAUCUCCCUCCUCCGGCCACCAAUUCCGUCGACCCAUGUAUGGAUUUUGAACCUCUCGAGCUGCUCUAGCUGAUGGUUGGGUAGGAUUAGAUCGAUUCUUAGCGUAGGCAACUCGAUUUUCGAAUUGAAAAUCGGUCGAAAUUUCGGCCGCCGUGAUCGGCCAUUUCCGGCCACUUUUUGGGGUAGGUCCAAGAACAAAAGUGGCUCCAAAUAGGGUGUUAUACCUAGGGUAGGAGUUUGGAGCCGUGAUUUUGAGAUUUUUCGGCGAAGCGUUAUCGCUUUGGGCACCACGCGCUGCCGGCGCGUGCGGCGGCGCGUGGGCACUGCAGAAAAAGUAGUGAUGUAUUCCGAUGAGAUCCUUAGGUUGUCACGAGUGCGUAGGAUUUCGCGGAUCUCAAUUCGGACAUCGUUUGACUGUCGAACGGAUAUUCGCAUAUUGUGCGUUAUCCGGGUUCGAUAGGUUGGGACCGUCGGAUGGUCCCAAAUUUAAUAUAUGUUAAUCUAGGUAAUUUUAGGAUCGUGUAGGAAUUCACGGAUCGUGAAUCGGAGCCCCGGAUGUUCCGAAUAAUAAUUUAAAGUUUAUAUUUUAUAUUAACCGUCAGAUCAUGCGAUCGUGAGAAAUCCGACCGUCUGAUCUGAACCAAACUUGCAGGAUAAGUGUCCUAUACCUGGUAGAACCCAUAGGGACUUUCAGAUCCGAAAUUGGAAGUCGUGGGUUCUGCAGGUCCGGUUGACCAGGGUUAGAGUAGUUUGACCCUUGGUUGACCGUGAGUCUCCUGGGGUAAUCUCACCUUUCUAGGGAGGGAUUAUCUGGUGCUAGAUGAUUGUGGAGGAUUACACAAUAUUAGAAUUAAUUUAUAUAAUUAUAGGUUAUAUAUGGUUGUACAAGGGUACAACAGAGUCUAGAAUGUCAGUUUGGAGUGCUAUACGCACUACUUUAGGUACCUCCCCGGAUGUUGGAUUCACUACAUGCACCACCAAGUGAAAGUUAGGUCCCACGUGGCGUAGGUUAUCCGGCGUUGGGACAGACCGCAUACGUGGCGUUGGUUGUACCGGCGUAUGGGGAGAUUCGUAAUAUGAUGUUCAGGUCUCACGUGGCGUAGGUUAUCCGGCGUUGAGACAGGCCUCAUACGUGGCGUUGGUUGUACCGGCGUAUGGGGAGCUAUUGUGAUAUUGUGUUGAGGUCGCACGUGGCGUAGGUUAUCCGGCGUGUCGACAGACCCUAUACGUGGCGUUGGUUGUACCGGCGUAUGGAGAGAUUUGUGAUAUGAUAUUGAGGUCCCGCGUAGCGUAGGUUAUCCGGCGUUGGGACAGGCCCCAUACGUGGCGUUGGUUGUACCGGUGUAUGGGGAGAUAUUAUGAUAGUAUGGCAUGGUCGCACGUGGCGUAGUUUAUCCGGCGUGUUGAAAGGCCCCAUACGUGGCGUUGGUUGUAUCGGCGUAUGGGGAGAAUAUGUGAAAUACAGAGAAAUGAAAUAAGGCAUCGCCCAAGUGUGGAAUUGGGUUUUUAGGGAAGAACUACGUGUGGCUUGAUCCCUCAAGGAGGGUACGUAGGCAGCCUGAGGUUAUUAGGUGCAGCCGCAGACUAAAUAUUAGUCAUAAUUUGUAUUUGAAUUGUUUGGUAGUUGUUUGAGAAUUAUUGGAAGGCCGAAGGCCAUUUAUAAGAAUUUGCAUGAAAUUAUAUUGUGCAUGCUGCCAGUUGUGGAUAUUAAAUGUGUUUUUAUGCAGGUUGAAAUUUUGGGAAAUGUCCAAUUUAUAGGGGUGACUCUCCCGAAAUUUCGGCAGGAAGUCUCGGCCUUUAGUAAGUGGGCUUGGCAUCGGGGUGAUGUCAGGAAUUCCAAAGGGUUCGUCUCGGAUUUUGAGAAAAUUCGGGGCGGGUCCUUAAAUCUUACUUCUUUUUUUUAACGUCAAUGUUUUUUAUAAAGAAAAUGUCAGCUUUUUUCAAAAAAGAGGAAAUGUCUGUUUUUUUUAAACACAAAGGACUUUUUUUUUUCCUUGUGUUAAAAAAAAAAAACCCAAACAUUUCCUCUUAAAAGCAAAUAUUUUCUUUUAAAAAAAAUAAUUGACGUUAGAAAAAAACUAAUAAGAUGGUAAGAAAGUUGUGAAUUUUUUUUGGAUAAAUUCAAUACAUUCAACACAUUCAAUAAGAGUAAACUUGGAAAGCAAAAGUUAAUUUAUAUAAUAUAUUAAUGACAUUGUUUUAAGUGUAAGGAGAAUGACACAUGUCAAGAAAAAAAGGGAGAAGGUCCAAAAGAGAAGGUUAGAGAGAAGGUUGCUAGCACUCCCCUUUGGAGAAAAGCUUCUACAAGGAAGAUAGGCGCCUUUUUAAAAUUAUUUUAUUUAUAUUUUUUAUGAAGAUUUUUAAAACUAUUCUAGACAUAAUUUAAAGUAUUCAUGCUCUGUAGGUUACUUAAAGGGACACAAUUUCAGUAUUUGUGCUCUAUAAGCCACCAUAUUUCAAUUGUGUUUCCCCCAUAUAUCACACAAACACUACACACAUGUGUCAAAUGUGUUUCAAAAGGACAUGAAUAUCAUUUUUGUGCUCUUUAGAUCGUACUUUUAGCCCAAUCUUUUAGUAGUGCUACGAAGUAUAGGUAAACAAAAUGUACAAGUGUAGGUAAAUUAUUUUUUUGUGUGGUUGAGAAAUAGGUAAAUUAAUCUAAGUACACCUACAAAUUAGUAUAGGUAAAUUAGUGGCAUUCGUGUGUAGCAGGUGUAUUAUGAUCGUUUGUUAUGUAGGUGCAUUACUUAAUACUACUUGUGUUAAGUAAUAUAUGCAAUAUGCUGUAAUAGACAUAAGAAAUAAUUUAAAGUUUAUAUAUACAUUAUGUACAACAUGAGUAAUGCAACUUCUUAAAAGUGUAUAUAUACAAUAUUCAUUGCUUAUUCGUUACAUUAUGUACAAUAUGAAUUUUUUUGAAAGUGAUUCUGGAUAAGCCAAUAAUUACUUUUAUGGAGAACCACUUCUGCAUAUAAUCACUUUAAGUGGUUUUUAUUUUAAGUGAUUUUAUGGAGAGGCACAUUGGAGGUGCUUCUCCUAAAAAUGGCUUAAUUAAAAUCACUUAAAGAGAUUAUAUGGAGAAGUGUGCGGGAGGUGCUUAUGUCCAUAAGUAAGCCGUCAUAAAAUCACUCCCAAACAAACUCUAAGUUUCUAUAUAGUUGGGUUCUUCGUCCUUUGACAACACAACGUAUUCUUAUUUCUUCAUAAGGUAUGGUAUAUAUCGCCCAUGAAAGAGAAUGUUAUUGUUUUUACAAAGUUGUCUCUCUCACAGCCUGCAUGUAAUUUAGAUGUAUUUAAAACUCCGUAGGUAAAAAAUAAUUACCAUGUAUACACAUAAUUGGGCAUGAACUAUGGAGCCAUAGCAAGAAAAAUAAAAAAAUGAAUGUCUAAAGCAUAACAAAAAUUAAAUGAAAAUCUCAACGUUAAAGAAGAAUAAAUAUUAAACUCAAGGUUACCUGCAAGGUUCUCGUAUCUGCUUGCUCAUCGGAGCUGAAUGAAACUGGUUAAGCAUUUGACCAACCUAUAUAUAUGUGUGUGUGUGUUAAGUAACCUAUAUCAGUUAAAAAUUUCAACACGCAAAAGAGUGACGAGUGAGAGGUCAAUUACUUGAUUCUUCGGAAUCCGGUCCCUUUAGCACGGGAUGUCUGGACCCCGAUGUUCCCGUUUUCCCUCGGAAAGAUAACGAACUUUUCGAAGGUGAUGAAAUCAGUUGUGGCGAAGGUCUCAGGAUUCCCUCCACCCCCGUUGGAGGAAACCAGAAUUAAGUGCCGUGGUCUAGCGGCAUCGUGGCUGUGUUGACAAAAUUUAGUUGCAGAGAUCCACUUGGACUUGUGCGGAUGAAGCAGAAUUGGUUCACUUCCUUUCCCUUCUGGAUCCCCCUCCGGACAUUCUCUCAGUUCCAGAGUCUGGUCUGUCGUGUUUUCAAUCUCUGUAACCCUAGACAUACAUGAACCCAUUACGAUGAAAUUCGAGUCUUACCCUCCACCCUUUGGUUUUGUCAGGCGCUCAGACAAAAACACUGAUGUACAGGAUAAAGAGGAAAGAAAAAAAAAAUCCCUCUCCAAAGGUGGCUAUGAUUCGAAUAUAAUGGGGAUUGACUUUGUAGUUCAGAGUGCGACAUUGUUCGUUAAACUUUGCAUCUGUGUGUGACUCAUCAAUGACUGUGAAUGUGGUCACCCAUAAAUCUACAUUUGUUUAACAUCCUUUCAGUCAAAUGGCAAUAUUGUCAUUUACAUUUUUGCAUUUUUUUUAAAAAAAUUCUUGUUAGACUUGCGUUUUCUUCUUUUAUUUCGUACCGCAAAUACAAGGUAGGGUCGUUUUGAAUAAACACCAAAUACCAAAUAAUUGGAUAUUUGGAAAUUCGACCAAAUAAAGACAAUAUUUUCCUUAAUUUUGAGAAUAUUUCAGAAUCUUUCUUCCAUCUUCCGCUGUGGCAUGCAUCUCUAAAUGUUGUCUAAUUUGACUCGUUUUGUGAUUCUUCUCGUAAAAAUUCAGUCGUCCAAGGAUACGGGUCCAUUAAGGAAGAAAGAAAGGGCCAGGCGCAUGGAGAUUGUAUUUUCUGUGGUUCGCAACUUCACAAGUGGGAACAUACGGCAUAUAAGUUCUCUGGAAGUUUUCACUUUCUUCAUUCUCUACUCUACAAGUGGGAGCUGUCCAAUUCAUCCACUAGUUCGCAUGCAAAAGUAAUGCUAAUUAUUUCAACUGGCCCGUUUAUUCCGCUUUGUUUUUUUGCCGUAGUUAAGAAGGGGAUGGGUGGAAAACAAUCACAAGUAUUGACUAUUUGAUGGCAAUCUCUUUAAUAUAGCGGAACCAAUUAAUGUAUGUGAGAUCUAUCUGUAUUAGAUAUGUGAUCAUUAACGAUUUAAUAGAGGCAGACCCAACUAAAGAAGUGGAGUGUCAAUUAAUGUUCCUCUUUGUUUAUAGGGCUAAUAGUAAAAGACGCCCUAAAGAAUUAGAUGACAUUAUAAUUAAGGUGAAAUUGUUUAUUUAAUUAAACUACUGCAAUUCUUUGUAUGUCAAGAUAUGAAUAAGAAAGAAAUCAAGAAAAUAAAUGGAUUUCAAAUGAAUACUUACAUAUAGGCAUUUCAAAUCCAUUUUAAUAUCUAGUUAUUUCAAAUUCUUACAAUUUAAUAUUUUUUAGUGUUUUUUUUAAAGCAAUUUAACUUUGCUGUCAAAUUCAAAUUUUUUUUUUUUUAAAUACUCCAAACAGAGGCUUAUAGUUAUGUAGUUGUUUGAUUUUGUCACAUCCCGGAAUCGGUUCCGUCAUAGCACAAUAUUGUCCGCUUUGGGCCCCCUCUCUGCCCUCACGGUUUUGUUUCUAGGAGUUCAUGAGCAACUUCCCAAUGGGUCACCCAUCCUGAGAUUGCUCUGGCCCCAACUCGCUUAACUUUGGAGUUAACAACAUAAUAACCCUACCGUGUAAAUAAUAAUGCUCAAGACAUGCAGGUUCACAAUUCAUAAUCAAAUACUCAAAAACAUUAAUCUUAGCAACCCAUUGAACCCAAAAUCUCAACCGAGACUCCAUUCCCAAACUUAUACUGCUCUUGCCAGCCCACUACAUAUACAUUAAUGGAUUUACACUCACACCUAUGUGUGUGUGUGUGUGUGUGUGUGUGUAUAUAUAUAUCAUAUACUUCUCUCAUUACUGAUGUACUGGAGAAAUAAUCCAACCGGGAUAUUGUUUAGCUAGCCCGCAGGAUUUCCAGAUGCUAUAUAUCCUGCAGCUAGGGAUGAGCGGUCCAACCGGGAGACGAAACUCCAUAGCUCACACGUCGGAACUACCAAUGCCACGUGUAGCUCACAUACUAAAAACUAAGUCCUACACGCGCAGACUACAUCAUCACACACCGGAACUACCAACGCCAUGUGUGAUGAUUCCAAGCAAUAUACAUACUCUUCCCAUACGCCGGAACUACCAACGCCACGUAUGGGAAGUGUCUCACACGCCGGAACUACCAAUGCCACGUGUGAGACCAAUAAUCACAUGUUCUUCCCACACGCCGGAACUACCAACACCACGUGUGAGAAGUCUAGUAAUAAGGGGAUGGUACUUACAUAGUACGCUCACAUAUUUUCUCUCAACAACCCCUCAUACUCAAUCUUUCCACAAUCUGACAUCAACUACUCACAUACUCCAUACAUAGACAACAUAGAUAGAAUUUUCCAAAAUCCAUAUCAACAUACUCAAAUGUAUACAAACCCAAAAUAUAUUAUCAACGUUUAUAAGAAUAUCAAAUUCAUCAACCAAACAUAUAUUAUAUCACAUAUACCAUUUAAAACAUAUGCACAAAUCUUUCAUCAAUAAAACCAUGUGUAUGCUUGAAAACAAAGUCCACUCACAUAUUUUCUGUUUUGCGCCCCCCAAUCAGUAGUCGCUCCAGGAAGGUUGUAAGCGGUGUUCGAAGGCCGAAUCAUUUACAUCAGUAGAUUAGGCUUCGAGUAAUUUCCUUAUACUCAACUGUUCUUGUAAACUAAAUUCAAUAGAUGCUCUGUUAUUGCCCAUGUUAAGUUUUUACUUGAGGUCGGAGGCCAUUUACUGUGAACUAUUGUAUGUUAAAAGCAUGCUACUGGUUGGGAUCUUAUUAUGUAUUUUAUAUAUGUUGAAUUUUUGUUGGGUUUAUUCAAUUUACAGGGGAGACUCUGCCAAAUUUUGGUAGAGAAUCUCAGUUUUUAGUAAGUGAGCCCGGCAUCGGGGUGAUAUCGGUAACAAAGAUGGGAACCGCUCCGGUUUCCUAGGAAAUCCGGGGCUGGUCUUGUCAGCUGCUUGGUAUCAGAACAACUCUGCGGUGUAGUGUGAGUGUGUCGACGAGGACGUCGAGCCCCUAAGGGGGGUGGAUUGUGACAUUCCCACGUCGACCAACGGAGAGGGGGUGAUGUGCCUUAUAUGUACAUGCCCGCCUCCAUCUAGCACGAAUCUUUUUAGGAGCUCACUAGCUUCGAAGUCAUGGGAACUCCGAAGUUAAGUGAGUUGGGGUUAGAGCAAUCCCAGGAUGGAUAACCCACUGGAAAGUUGCUCUUGAGCUCCUAAAAACGAAACCGUGAGGACAGAGAGGGGGGCCUAAAGUGAACAAUAUCGUGCUAUGGCGGAGCCGAUCCCAGAAUAUGACAGAUUUUGCUAGGUCAAAACUGUCUUAGCUUGAAGAUUGUAAGGUGUUUUUGUUGUUGUUGUCAUUCAUGUGUAUUAAGGGCCUAAAUUCAUCAAAAUCUUAUACUUUAUGUGGUCUUUAUUUAAUGCAUGACAUUGAGUUGCGUGAUGUGGUGUGUGCUUGGGUCAAGACAAAGAAAAAUUUGUGACGAGUACACUACAUGAAAAAACCUUAAUUGUGGAGCUUGGGUGGCUAAAGGCACUAUUAGUGUCUAAUAACUGCUAUUAGACAUCAUCAUGUGUCACUUGAUUAUUAAUAUUUUUUCUUGUAUUAAUAUUACUACGUUAUAUAUUUUAUGAAUGUUAAGAAAUAACACUAAAAAAAAAUCGCAUACAUUCUUAAAGUAUCUCCAACUGAUGUGUUAAAUUGCCACAUAGUAUGUUCCUUAGAGUUGGUUUUAUUGGUAAAUCGUUAUCGCACAAAAUCAUACAAAACAUUGCAAUUGACUAGCACGAACUCCAACUGUAGUGGCAUUGAUAAGUGGAGGGUGAAACACAGAAUUUAUUGUUGAUCAACGUACACUACACUACUGAAGAAGCCCUAGUAUUGGGUGCAGAGAUGCUUAUACACUUGGUACCUUCACAAAGCCUAAUGCACUUCUCACUGGGGUGCUUGCCAUGGUGAGCUUUCCUACAGGGAAUGGUCCAGCAACCCACAAGCACGAUGAUGGCAAAGCUUACAAAGAGACCAAUGCAAAUUUGGAAGUAGAUAGCACGUAGAAUUUUUAUAUAUUUUUCAACAUGAGCGGACCAAGCUCUUUCAGGAACUUGAGAAGCAACCUGUUGAUGUUGUCUUGGCACUGAAGUAGUUGGUCUCAGUUCAGAAGCUUGUUGUAGUAGGCUUCUAGGAUCUAGGGAAGCAGCCUCUUGAUGUUGUGUUGGCGCUGAAGGACUUGGUUCACAUUCAGAGACUAGUAUUGUUGGUGAAUUCUCGGAUCUUCGGUCUGAAUUAUGUGAAUAAUUUUGCUUGGCCUGAGUACUUUGCAAUUGAUCGCGUUCCCGGAUGGUAUUGUCUCUAUGCAUGAGACUUCUUUUAUAAUUCCCUCCAUUUACAAUCAAUGAAAACAGAUUGAGUAUGGCCGCCAUUAGAGAGAGACUGAAAAAGAACCAACGAUCUGAGCAUCUCACAUUGGCAAUGCCCCCCAAAAUAACUCCUUGAAAAACGAAGUAGUAGUUUGCAAGGGUGAAGGCACUGGUUUGAAGAUGUUUUACACGAUCACUCUGGUUCUCAAAUAUAGUUCGUAGCUCCUCUUUUCUUUUCUCUAUAUUUUCUUUCUCCACAUUUGUUGGACAUGGAUUGUUAGCCAUCAGUAUGCAGCACACGCACAGAAGUGGAUAAUGCACUCACACUAAAAGAGCUAAAGAUAUAUAAGAAUAUGCAAAGUGCAGAGCAACCUCCUCCUUUACUACUAUAUAUAUAAAGAUAGAUUCUAAUAAAAUCUUCCUUCUAAGAAACAUAUGGGACUGCAUGGCAUUGGCAACAACUUUUUUUAUUUUUUUAUUUUUUUAUACAAAUGAUAUUCUAAUAUUUUGAUUUUCUGGAUCUUUUAGUUUUUUAGUCUAAUAUGAGAAAAAUGUGAGCGAUUGGACUAGUUCUUUUUAUUUUUGUUUUUGUUUCAAACGGUACAAUAAGUGGGUUACGUGAAUUCAGAUUUUUUUUAAGUCCUUAAAAAUCAUAAGGUGAAAAUAACAACACCUUAUUUAUUUUUUCCAAAACCUCCCUCCCUGUAACGGAUGCAGAAUAAUCUUCUCCUGAUUUUUGGUGUUCCAACUCGAAUAAUUAAAAAUAGCAUGAUGCCAGGUCAGAUGAUUGAUUUGGUGUGACAACCCAAUAAGAAACAGCCACAUAUGCCUAUGUUAUCAACUUAGUUUCCCUCCAAAUCUAAUAGCAUCCACAAAGAGAAGGACUGGUUUCUGAAGACGUAUAGGAUCUUUUCUUGCAAGGCAGGAUUUGGCAGCUUCAAACAAAUCAAACAUGAGCCAAGACUUUUCAUUCUCUUUCUCUCGUCCACUUAUUUGUUCAUAAACUCUUCUAACAAAUUUUUCACCAAAACCAGUUGGAUGGGCAGGUGACCAAAAGAGGACCUAUAUUUGGUUGGCGGCUCAGGUAACUCAUUUUCCUGAUUGUCUUUAAAGACAGCGUUUGACUACUGUAUUUAGGGUGCCGGGCGUUGCUCUGAAAUUCUUUUACUUUAAUUUGCUACGAAAACUAGCGUUAUAAUUGUUGUCCAUUGUUCUAUUUUCGAUUAUACAUACAUAACUUGAGGUUCUACAUACAAGAAGGCCAAGUAGAAAAUCAUAUAUGAGGAUUAGUUUGGUUGUGUCCUUCCUUUGCAAGUUCAUCUGCAAUGCAACUAUAUUCGCCUCUCCAUAAGCGCACCUUGAAUAAAGCUAAUUCUUGUAGUUUUUCAAACAAUUCUGGGCCAAAGUUUGCUAACACACGGCUUUCCAAUCGUAGCCAUUGGGCUGCAAUUCAGUAGGGAAAAUACGGGGGCUAUUUCCAAAAAAAUCAGGAUAGAAUAAGUCUGUAAUUCUGAUUUUUUUUUUUUUAAACUAACAGAUGAAUUUGUUGAAAAACAAAUUUAUUUUUCUGGUACCAAAUUUGCCAACAAACAAUGAUAUAUAUAGAGAAAUUCUUCUAUGCAUACAUCCAGACAUUACCUCAAGUUGCUUCUAAGAAAAGAAGAAGAACACGAAGGUACCUUCUAAUGUUCUGAAUAGAAAAUCUCGUUGCUUCAUUCCAUCAAGUUGAACAAUCAUUUUCUUGAGGAUUCUAAAACAAAAAUUCAAAACCGCAGUAGCACAACAUCAGAAAAUCCCAAUUGAACUCAAAACCAAUUCGUAAAAUCGCUAAUUGAAAUCAAAAUGCAUUCAUAAACUCACCCAUAAACAAAAAAUUUCAUGCCCAAAAUCGAAGAAAGAAAUUAAUUAAGACAAACUCAGAUUCUCAUCUCAACACCCAAGUAGAAGAUAAACAAAAAACUAGACAGAAAAUUUACUUUAGAGAAAUCGUGGCAGGGGCGGCCCUAUCAUGGUGCAAGUGGCGUCACUGCACAGGGCCCCUGAUUUUUUAUGGCCCCUGAAAUUUUUUUACUUUAUAUAAUACAUAUUAAUAUUAUAAAAACUAUAUAUAUACUCCAACGUGCAGCACAUUGACACAAAAACGUAUUUGGUAGAGUUGGUUUAUAGUGCAUAUAUACUCCAACGUGCAGCACAUUGACAAAAAAAAAUGUAUUUGGUGGAGUUGGUACAAGCCCAAGGUUCGAGUCUUAGUAAUGUGAAUACAUUUGUAAUUUUAUUCUCUUUUUAUUAUAAGAACAAAAUUUAAAAUAGUUUAAAAAAAGAAGCACGUGAAAAUUACAAGGGGAAAGAUCCAACUAAACUAACAAUAGUAUAUAUCACACCCAUACACUUUCUCCUUUAAAAAAAAAAAAAAAUUACUUUCUUCCACUCAAAACAAAACCAAAAAAAAUAAAAAAUUCAUGUCUUCUUCUUUCUCUUGAACUAUUUUUUUUUCUUAUCGAACAUACUAAAAUUUAAGUUUAUCGAAUGAAAACAUUAAAAAAUUUGUGAUUUGAUUUGUGAUUGUUAUUACUUACUAAUUGAUGAUGAAUUUUAGUUAUAAAAAAAUAUUUUAUGACAUUAAGCGAUUAUUAUUAUUAUUAUUUUAAGUAUUUCAUAUUUGAUUAUGUGAGGACUUCAAUUAAGUUUUGCGUAGGGCCCUCAAAAUCCUAUAACCGGCCCUGAAUCUUGGUGGUGUUUUGUUACUUGAGAGGUGGCUCGGUUUGGGUUGGUUAAGCAAUGAAAAAAAAAAAGGAGGAGAAGAGAAGAAAAAGAAGGGAGAGAGAGAAGAAGAAGAAGAAAAGACCAAGAAAAGAAGAAGAAGAAGGAAAAAGAAAAGAAUAAAAAAAACAGCGAGGGAGAGAUGGAGGAAAUAAAAAGAAAAAUUAAUAUUUGUGCCCAAUACUAUAUCAUAAUGCUUAAAAUAAUGUGCGUUUAAGUUUCUUGUUUUUUAUUGGUAAAUAAAAGAUAAAUAAUAUUUUGUGGGUAUAAUUGUUUAUUAAUAUAAUUUGUAAGUAAAAGGGCACAAAAGUAUAUUUUUUACGGUUAAAAAAGCUUCAACUAUUUUCUUAGUUAAGUGAUAACUCUAUGAUGAUAUGAUAAUUGGACAUGAAAUUUGUGCCUAAACUAUUUAGGCACAAUUAUUUCCUUCUUCAGUUGGCAUUGGACACAAAACAAUUAUGUUUUUCCCGUAUAUCACACAAUUACUACGUGUAUGUGUCAAAUGUGUUUCAAAAGGACAUGAAUAUCUUUUUUUUGCUCUUUAGAUCGUGCUUUUAGACCAGUUUUUUAGUAGUUGUAUAACAUAUAGGUAAACAAUAUGUACAAGUGUAGUUUGUGUGUGUGUGUGUUGAGAAAUAGGUAAAUUAAUCUAAGUACACCUACAAAUUAGUAUAGGUAAAUUAGUGGCAUUUGUGUGUAGUAGGUGUAUUAUCAUCGUUCGUUAUGUAGGUGCAUUACUUAAUACUGCUUGUGUUAAGUAAUAAUAUAUGCAAUAUGCUGUAAUGGAUAUAAGAAAUAAUUUGAAGUUUAUAUAGACAAUAUGUACAACAUGCGUAAUGCAACUUUUAAAAGUUCAUAUAUACAAUAUUAUGUACACCAUAUCGUUUCUCAUUGCUUAUUCGUUACAGUAUGUAGAAUAUGGCUCUUUUGGAAGUGAUUCUGCAUAAGCCAAUGAUCACUUUUAUGGAGAAUCACUUUAAGGGGUCGUUUGGUACACAGGCUUGGCUUUGACUGGCUUGGACUAAAUUUAGUACCAUGUUUGUUUCAUUUAAUUCUAGUCUUAGAUGGGAUUGCUAAUACCGGGUCCACCAAAACCACCUCCUUAGGAGGGGACUACUAAUCCCAUGUAGAAAGGGAGGAUUAGCUAGUCCUAUGUUUACCAAUGUAUGAGAUGCAUAUAUUAUAUUGUAAUACUAAUAACAUAUAUUACUAUUAUUAUUAUUAUUACAUACACAUAUACUAUAAUGUACAUAUAUACAUGUAUAUACACAUAUACAAGUAUAUAUAUACACAUAUAUACAUAUAUAAUAUAUAUAUAAAUACAUAUAGAUAUAUACACAUAUAUUAUUAUUAUAAUAUACUCAUAUACACAUACAUAUUAAUAUUAUAAUAAUAGCAUACAUGUAUAUAUAUAUUAAUGUACAUAUAUACAUAUAUAAUAUAUAAAUACAUAUAGAUAUAUACACGUAUAUUAUUAUUAUAAUAUACCCAUACACACAUGCAUAUUAAUAUUAUAAUAAUAGCAUACAUGUAUAUAUGUAAUAUAUAUAUUAUUAUAAUACAUAUAUAUAAGUAUAUAUACAUAUAUGUGUAUAUAUUAUACCCAUGUAUGUAUUAUAAUAUACAUAUACACACGUAUAUAGACAUAUACAUUAUAUGUAUAUAUAUUAUAAUAUACAUAUAUACACGUAUAUACAUGUAUAUUAUUAUUAUAACAUACUCAUAUAUAUUAUCUAUUAUAAUAUACAUAUGUAUAUGUAUAUGUAUUAUACCCAUGUAUAUAUUAUAAUAUAUAGAUACACCUAUAUACACAUAUAUUAUAUACAUGUAUAUGCGUAUAUAUAUGUAUAUUAUAAUAUAUAAUAUAUAUACAUAUAUUAUACAUAUAUUAUAUAUACAUAUGUAUUUUAUAAUAUAUAUAUAAUAUAUAUGUAUAUAUACAUACAUAUAUAAUAUACAUAUAUACACAUAUAUACAUGUAUAUUAUUAUUAUUAUUAUUAUUAUUAUUAUAACAUACCCAUAUAUAUUAUAUAUUAUAAUAUACAUACAUAUAUAUAAAUAUAUGUAUAUGUAUUAUACCCAUGUAUAUUAUAAUAUACAUAUAUACACCUAUAUACACUUAUAUAUAUGUAUGUACGUUUAUAUUAUUUAAAAUAUAUAAUAUUAUUAUAAUAUACUUAUAUACAUGUAUAUACAUAUAUAUUAUAUAUAUUAUAAAAUACAUAUAUACAUAUAUAUAGAUAUUUUUGAAAAAAUAAAAAAAUUAUACUCCUAAUCCAAGCAUACACCAAACGCAGGAUAAGUGUUAUCCAACUUAGACCAAGCCAAGCCAAGCCAAGCCAGUCCCUAAGCAUAGUCCAUGCCAAGACAGUCCUGUGUACCAAACGAGCCCUAAGUGGUUUUAAUUUUAAGUGAUUUUAUGGAGAGGCACAUUGGAGGUGUUUCUCCCGAAAAUAGCUUAAUUAAAAUCAUUUAAAGAGAUUAUAUGGAGAAGCGUGAGAGAGGUGCUUAUGCCCAUAAGUAAUUUUAGCCCUCCUAAAAUCACUCCUAAACAAACUCUAAGUUUCUAUAGUUGGGUUCUUCGUCCUUUAACAACACAACAUAUUCUUAUUUCUUCAUAAGGUCUGGUAUAUAUAGCCCUUGAAAUUCGAGUCUUACCCUCCACCCCUUAUGGUUUUGUUAGGCGCUCAGACAAAAACACGGUUGUAAGUAAAGAGGAAAUAAUUAAAAAACACCCUUUUCAAUAAUAAAGGCGGUUAUGCAAAACAAGUUAACAUCAAACAAAAAGUAACCAAUAUAUUUAAAAAAUUAAAUAUAAAAUAAGAUCACAGGGAGAGAAAAAAACAGCUCCAACCCCACCCCAUCCCGCCCUCUCUCCCUCCAAAAAUCACAACUAAAAUCAAUGUACAUAAGCAUUUAGACUGCACAUUCAAAACCAAAUCAUCUGUCGAGAGCUCUCUCAACUCAAUCUCUUCAUUCAUCUUGUCCCUUGGAAACUUGAGGAUGUUUUGGAACAGUCGCUUGGUCAUCUUGAUCUUCCCCAAACUACACCUUUUCUUCAAAAUUUGCGAUAGGGAUUGGGGAUGGGGCCGGAUAUGAGUGUGCUGGAGGUGGGUUGAUGGAAAGACGGUCUUGCCCCCGGACCGUUUACGUUACCCUAACAGAUGUUAGAUUUGUGGGUUGUGACUUGUGAGUGUGACUAUAGUAAAUGAAACGUGUGGAGUUUGAGCGCAGUUAUACUAAACCUCAUGGGGUUCAAGUGAAAUUCUCCCAUAAAAGAAUGUCAAGAGGACUGGCAGCCACCUUUCUGUAGAAUUCACACAAAUUUUGGUUUGUAGCUUUCCUUCUUUCCUUUCUUCCUUCCUUUAACGAUUAGUAAGAGCUCUAUUAAAUUAUGCUUUUUUUUUCUUUUUCUUUUUUUAAUAAUAAAAAAAUUCUUGUUGGACUUCUGCUUUCUUCUUUUUUUUUGGUACCGCAAAUACAAGGUAGGGGUCGUUUUGAAUAAACACCAAAUACCAAAUAAUUGGAUAUUUAGAAAGAAAUACCAUUUGCUUGGAUAUUACCAAAUAAAGACAAUAUGUUCUUUAAUUUUGAGAAUAUUUUAGCAUCUUUCUUCCAUCUUCCGCUGUUGCAUUCAUCUGUGGCCAUUUUCUAAAUGUUUGUCUAAUUUGACUCUUUUUUUUUUAUUCUUUUCGUAAAAAUUCAGUCGUCGAGGAUACGGGUCCAUUAAGAAAGAAAUAAAAUACGACCACGUGGAGACUGUAUUUUUUUUUGGUUCACAACAUCACAAGUGGGAGCGUACGGCAUAUAAGUUGUGUAGAAGUUUUCAAUUUCUUCAUUCUCUCUACUCUACAAGUGGGAGCUGUCCAAUUCAUCCGUUAAUUCGCAUGAAAAGGCAAUGCUAAAUUAUUUCAACAGGCCCGUUUAUUCCGUUUUGUUUUUUUGCCAUAGUUAAGAAAGGAAGGGGGAAAAAAUAAUUUUUGAUGACAACCUCUUUAAUAGAGGCGGACCCAACGAAUGUAUGUGAGACUUAUCUAUAUUAGAUAUGUGAUCAUCAAUGCGGUACUUCUUUCUACCAUUUCAAUUCUUCUAGUUAGAGUUAUUUACAUUAUACUUCCUGAUUUUUUUUUUGUUGUGUUUUUUUACAAAAUCCCCCUGAGGUUUUUAAAAUUACUCAAACACUCCCUAAAGUCUUAAAUUGUUUUCACAAAACCCCAUUUUCUUAAAAUUCCUUUAAAAAAUUGUUGAUUUCAUAAAAAGAAAAUAUGAAAAUGACAAGUCUACCUUUAAAUUUAUAACUCGAAAAAAUAAAAAAUAAAGUAAACCUGUCAGCACACAUACUCCCCCUCUCCCCUCUCGACAUACACCCCACCCGCUUCGGCCAUGAUUGCCAGCCAUGGCCCUUCCCUAUGUACUAUAUAUCUUUGAAUUGUUUUACUAUGGUCAGGUUAUGUUGUUUUGUGAUGAUAAUAAAAAAUUUGGUUGAAUAAGGAAGUCGAUGGGUUGCUGGCUGCGUGUGCAUUUCAUGAUUGACUGGUUUUUUACCUUUUUUUUCUCUCUGGGUUGGGGGUGGGGGGACGGUGAUCGUAAAAGGAGGAGGAAGGAGCCAAACAAAGUUCCUCUUUGUUUAUACGGCUAACGACAAAAAUGCCCUAAAGGUUUGGAGUCAUUCUCAAUAUGGACCUCAGGGUUUUAAUUUUAUUAAUUUACACCACUAAUGUUUUCAAACUUGUCCAAUUUAAUCUUUUCGUUAAAUUAACUGCUAAUGUAAUCUUGUGGAACCCACCCCACCAACUGACUGACCAGGCCCCUUAGGACAUCUGAAGGGUAUUUUCCUCUAGAGAGAGUAAGUGAGAGAAGGGAAUAGGAAGAGAAUAUAGAGAGAAGGGCCAUGGCUGGAACCACAAGUAUAUUUAAUGGAACUUGGAUAUUUGGUUAUAUUGUUUGAAUGGCUUGAGCCUCCUUAAUUACUAUUUGACAUAUCUAUGAAAAUAUAUUUGAUGUUCUACACAAGUAUUUAAUUUUCUACAAUUAAUUAGUUAGAAUGUGUUUGAAUCACCAAUUAAAUGUCGAUUAUAACAAAUUAAAAAAUUUCCAGCCAAAAAAAAAUGAACGAAUGGAUUUAAUUUUCUGCAAUAACUCUUGUAGUUAUUUCUUCGUUAUAUUAUGCUAAGUUGAAACUGUCCUUGAAGAUUAUAACUUUAUAAGGUUUAUGCUCUUUUAUUUUCUGUACUCAAGAUUAUAACCCUAAAUGCAUGAAAUCUUAUAUUUUAUGAGGCCUAAACACCCAAAAGGUCGCAUUUAUUAUUUCUUAUUUGUGAAAUCACAUAUACCAUUACAUAUUCUUUAUUUUAUUUGUUGCCAAAAGCCAUUACAUAAUACAGAUAUUAACGAGCAUGAAAACAUGGUAGGCUUUAUAAUGUGGUACCAAUCUAUGAGAAGAAAACAUAAGUUGAACAUAAGCUUUAUGAGAGUAUUUUUGUUCACCACUCUAACCUAAAGUGUAUGCUCACCACCCUUCUCAACACUUGACAUGUGUCUAUGAGCAUAACCAUGGUUACAUAAAUCAAAGUAAAAAGUUAACUAUGGUUAUAUCUAUAAACACGUGUUAAAUAUUAAGAAGAAUAAUGAACAUACACCUUGAGUUAAAGUGAUAAGUAAAAAUAUUUCAUAAGCUUUAUUGUGAUACCAAUCUACUUGGAUAUAGAGAUGCUGUUGGCUUUUUAAUAAGCCAGUACACUUACUUACACUCACUGCACCUUAUUCUACAAGAUACACAAUAAAAUCCUUCUUAUCAGUUAUACAUCCCAAUACUACAAACAAAGUUUAGAAGAAAUGGAAGUUUGACGAAAGAGAGGAAUUCUUGUAUUGGUUGUCUGGAAAUAAAAAUUGUUUAGAAAAUAACACUUUAUUAUUUCCCAAUUGCCAUUUGGAUGCACAUGGUGCCAAGUACAAGACUAGCCGUCUUAGAUUAUGGGCCAGCUGGUCUAAAAUCUUUAUGUAAUGGGCUCCAAAUAAUUGAACCGCCCGGUCCAUUAUGCAAUCUAAAAAAGAAAUUGUAUUCUUGUGUUAGAAGAUUAAAUAUUUGGUAAUUUUGUGAUUAAAAUGAGGUACAUUCUCGUAAAAAUUCAGUCGGCAGAGGAUGCAGGUUCAUUAAGGAAGAAAGUCUUGGGAUGUUGCCUUCUCUCACAAAACAGAUGGCCUGAAGCACAUGCAAUUGCAAACACCAAACGUAAAUAUUUGCGUAAAUAAUAUUGAGAUUGAGUUGAGUGGCAGCCCAACUUGAAAAUAAAUCCAAGAAAAUAAAAGGACUUAACAUUAAAUCCAAGACUACAAAGAUGACAGGUGGCUGGAUUGGAUAAUAUAAUAUAGACCACAAAGAUCUUUUCAACUCUUAUGGUUAUAGCCUUGUUAGAUUGUGCUAAGCUGAAACUGUCGAAGAUUAUAUAAACCAUUUCAGAUUAAAUCACCACAGCAUGAAAAUAUUGUAAAUUUACUAUAUUAUAUGAGAAGAAAACACCGAUUUUAACGUAAACUUUAUUAAUUAUGAUACCAAUCAAUCUACUUGGAUAACGCUAGAUAGCUCAAAGCUAGAACUGUUGAAGGCUCUAGUAUUCGGUGCACAUGCUCAUGCACUUGCCACCUUCACAAACCCUAAUGCAGUUGUCAUUGCUGGAUAUGGGGGGUAUGCAUUGAAGAGCUUUCUUGCAAGGGAUGGUCCAGCAACCCACAAUCACGAUGACGGAAAAGCAUACAAAGAGAGCCAUGCACAGUAGAAAGUAGAAAUCACGCAGCUGUUUGUGUUGAUUAUCAACCGGCACAACCCCCUUGCGGAUCUGCCUUUGUUCCGGUUCAUCCUUAAUUUCUACAGUUGCAAGAUCCUGAGAAGCGACCUGCCCUGAAGCUUCUAUUUUCGUUGAAGUCCAGUACGAUAAUAUGUCACUUUUGAGCCCAUGAUCUGAAGGUGAAGUUUCUAGCUUCGCCAGAUCACUUUCCAAUUUAUUGCGCUCAAUCUUGCUUUGGUGUCUCUGCAUGACGCUUCUUUUAUAAUUGCCUCCAAUUACGAGCAAUGAAACCAAGUUGAGUAUGGCUGCAAUUAGAGAGAGGCCGAAAAGGAACCAGCGAUCUGAGCAUCGCAGCGCUGUGGUGGCAGUGACGAUAGCCCCCAACAGAAUUCCUUGAAAGACGAAGUAGUAGUUUGCAAGGUUGAAGGCACUUGUUUGAAGAUGGUUUACACGAUCGUCCUGCUUCUCAAUUGUAGCUUGUAGCUCCUCUUUUCUUUUCUCCAUGUUUUCUUUUUUUUCUUUGUCACCAUUUGGUGGACACGGAUGGUUGGCCAUACUCAAACUA
rnacentral:lncRNA from 1 species